GAUAUUUUCUGGUGCGUGAUAAACUUAUUUAGCAUAGGUAUUAUCGUAUAUUUGAUGUAUACUGUAUAAACUAAAAUGUGUACGUUGCGAAUUUAAUUAAUAAAUGUUAAUAAUCUCUAUAGAAAUUUAUAAAACGCAUGGUUGAAUAUAAUUUGUUAUAAUCAAGCAGGGAACAGAAUAACAUUUUUAAAAAUUGUAAAGGCGUGGUCGAAAGUCAGUUUUGUAAACCUAAAAAAUUCGUUCGACGAUAAGAUCCGCGAUGAGUGUGAGCAAAGCGGCAGCAGUGUUUAACGUUUAACGUUGUCCGUUUAAAGUUUUUGACUUAAAACGGUUUAGUGACCACGACGGCACCCCGUAAAUCCCAUUGUAGGUAUUACCGUGUAAAAACAACACGUAUGUACGAAAGGGAUGCAAUU